rnacentral:tRNA from 1 species
GCCUGGGUGGCUCAGUGGGUUAAGCGUCCCACUUCAGCUCGGGUCAUGAUCUCGUGGUUUGUGGGUUCGAGCCCCGCCUCGGGCU